rnacentral:rRNA from 1 species
GAUGAACGCUGGCGGCGUGCCUAAUACAUGCAAGUCGAGCGAACAGACGAGGAGCUUGCUCCUCUGACGUUAGCGGCGGACGGGUGAGUAACACGUGGAUAACCUACCUAUAAGACUGGGAUAACUUCGGGAAACCGGAGCUAAUACCGGAUAAUAUAUUGAACCGCAUGGUUCAAUAGUGAAAGACGGUUUUGCUGUCACUUAUAGAUGGAUCCGCGCCGCAUUAGCUAGUUGGUAAGGUAACGGCUUACCAAGGCGACGAUGCGUAGCCGACCUGAGAGGGUGAUCGGCCACACUGGAACUGAGACACGGUCCAGACUCCUACGGGGGGCAGCAGUAGGGAAUCUUCCGCAAUGGGCGAAAGCCUGACGGAGCAACGCCACGUGAGUGAUGAAGGUCUUCGGAUCGUAAAACUCUGUUAUUAGGGAAGAACAAAUGUGUAAGUAACUAUGCACGUCUUGACGGUACCUAAUCAGAAAGCCACGGCUAACUACGUG